AGCCUGGAGUUCAUGAGUUCACGGUGCAAGGCAUCUAGUGAUAGAGACAGUGGCUCCUCUUGUUGGCCCCAAGCUCGACUGAGGGGAUUGUUUUGUUCUUGGACCCCCGCCUUCACUUGGACCUGAGACUCACGAAGCUUUGCAGCUUCUGGGGUUGCUUGUUUUGUGCUGCAGAUGAGCGGGGUGAGGGGCACCCCAGAAUUGAGGUGUGCCUCAUGCCCAAGCUUCCAGACUCAGGCAGGGCACCAAAGUCUUGCCACCCAUGCCCAUUAGAGACAGCCCUGUUCCAAAGCUCAUCUCGGACUCCUAGAGAACUGUGUGCGGGGUGCCAGCAUUCACAAGCCAUCCUGCUGGACACAUGUCCCGCGGCCACUUAGCUGUGACCGCCCAAGAAAGAAGGAAAUUCCAUGAUUUGCAAGUCUGCCAGAGCCAGAGUGUGUGUGUAGGGCCAGGUUGCUGUCAGGCACAAAGGCAGGGAGAUGGCCUGUGUCCAAAUGAAGAUCCACUGGGGCAAGAAGAAAGCCAGGCUGGAAGGAAGAGAAGCAGGCUUCGAGCUCCAACAAUUCCUGCCCAGUGAGGCUCAGGGGCACCAGAGACAAGAGCCCAAAGGCCAUUCUUCGAAGCUGAGCAAGAUUGCAGGGUUUCUGAGAGUACUGCGCAGAAAUAAAGGAGACAAAAAUGUCACUGAUCCACCAGAAACUUCCAAAGGUUUCUCCGAGUUGGUCCAGGAUGGGCAGUUCCUGGAGGCCUACCUGAGCAUCCCGACAUUGGUAAAGCAAGGGCAAGACUGCAAAUCCCUGUACCAGGUUGUGGCCCAGAGCAUGUGGCAGGUGCUCCAGCAGGCUCUGGAGGGCACUGAGUACUGCCCGGAGCUGGAGCUAAAGAUCCAGGCUGUGCUGGGCACCAUAGAGUGGACACAGGAGAAGCACCAGAGCUGGGAGGAUGGUGACCUCCAGGAUGGUGACCUCCAGGAUGGUGACCUCCAGGAUGGCGGAGUUGCCGCCUGGGGCAAUCAGCUGGAGAAGCUGCUGAGAAGUGAUGUGGAGGCCAGAGUGCCUGCCCUGGGCCCUGGCGACCAGGUGGACCUGUACCUGGAGAAGCUAGAAGAGGCUGUGACACAGGGCCUGAGGUCCCCGCGGGCCAGCCUGUUGGGGCCCCAGCUCUGGAAGGUCUACAGGACACACUUCCAGGAGGUCCUCCUCAACCGCCUCUGGGAGCUCAUGCACUCCUUUGGCACCAACAGGGAAAGCUGUCACAUGCUGUACUCCUGGGCCAAGAUAACGUUGUUUGGGGAGCCAGGGAAGACACUUGUGAGUGCACCUCCCACCUCCCAGGAGCCCGCGGUCAGGCACCUCUUAGAUUCUGUGACGUUUGUUCCCUGGAUGUCCCGAAUGCAGAAGAAGCUGGUGGGACUAAUACAGGAAAGCUUGGAGGAACAACUAGAAAAUGUCCUGAUCUGUGAUUGGAAAACAUGGGCCCAGGCUUCCUGCCCGACGUUUAUCGAAAUCUUCCAGCUGCUGGAAGAAAACAUUAAUGCAGUACAACCCAUUGGACUACCUAUCACUAGCCAGGUGCAAUCCAUGGUUCUGGAAACAUUUUCAAAGUUUCUGAAAAGGUACGAGGCCGAGGCCGCCCACUUCCUCCACCAGAACGCCACUGCUGGGCCCCUCCCCGAGGUGCACGUGCUGGCAAACUGCUGCAUCCUCAGGGAAACGUGGCAGGAGCUGAGCUGGGCACACAUUCUGCCGGCACAUCUGGACGCUGUCGUGCAAGACACCAUCCACGACAUCGAGAGCCACAGCCGGGACCACUUCCUGUUUAAGGGCAGAGCCCUGUGCAAGGUGCCGUCCCCCAGUGCCCCAGCCCUGUGUGGGGUCUUCUCUGUUCCCAGAGAACCAAGGCAGGAGGCGCCUGCCUGUGUCUCCCUGGACUUCUGCCCAGCCCAGCAGAGCCUUUGCUGGGGUGGGACACGGCAGGGCCCCAGUGGCGGACUUGGUUGGAGAGGUUCCUGGUCAGGCCUUCUGCCUUCCUCAGGCCGGAGUUCUUUGUCUGGAGCAGCAGGCUGGGCCAGCUGGGACUAG
rnacentral:lncRNA from 1 species